ACCACACCCGUGAUAUAAACACGCUUAUUCUCUUCGUGCACCUUAAACCCUAAUUUAAAUAUCCUAUCAUUCUGGCCGUUUCACUUCGUUUCGCAAAGAAGAUAUCGAUCGUUCAUCCCCACAAACCCGAAUUUCAUCAACAAUCAUCAGGCAUGAGCAUAAUUUGGUGUAAAUCUUUGAUUCUUGCUUCCAAUUUAUGAUUCUCGAGGUAACAUAGUUGGAUUCACACCCAUCUCGCAAAUCCGGAUCGUAUCAUUUUUCUCAAACGUACAAGCUAACUUCUCUCAAACCCUAAAUCCGAAGACGCCAUUCAUCUUCAGCCGUUCAUCAUUGAUUCAAGUUUGAUAAACAAAGAUUUCAAGAUCAAUUCUACAAGGAAUAACACAUGUAAAGACAUUGCAACAUCCGUUACUAAGAAACCCUAAAGGGAGAGAAGCUAUAUUUGUAUAUCAAGAAUAUGUGUUGAUACGGAUUAGGCAGGGAGGAUUAGGAGGUGGUGUUGCCUCAGGUUCGGAUCAUGGCCAACCUCAUCAUAACUCUGAGCACAUGAAUGAUAUUAACACAUUCUCGAGAAGUUGAUUUAAUUAAUUAGAUUUUUUAUGUUAAUCUUAGACUAAAUUGCAUAAAACGUGUGGGACUCAGAAAACUUAAACGAACUAAUGACAUAUAAUAUAUAAUAAAAACAGGGGUUUUGUUGAAAGGGGAUGACAAAAGAAGACGGUAAUGAUUUUGUUUUCUGUUCAUGUGAGGGUGGGGAAUUCUCAGAUCCGCCAUUUAUGGUGGUCUUUUCCCAGCUGGUGGUAUUGUUCAAAUUGUUGUGGUGGCUGGAGGUGGGGCUUGGUUGAAUAAGAGAUAGAUAAAGCACCGAUUACAGAGACCUUGAGCACAAGGGGUUGCACUCCUUGGUGGAUUCCGUUUGUCUUCUACACGCGGAUUCUUUUGAGUCUGGCCCGGUUUAAUUCGAUAAUCUUCGUUGUGACAGUGGGCUGUUCAGAUGGAGCAGCGGCGGUCGCCAAAAAGUGACACCCGACGAUUGAAUACGGAGCAACGUUUCAGGUGGUUUCUAGACCCUAUCGAGUUGUUAAAAGCUUUGGUGUGAUUUGGUGAUGAGAGGCCAUCACUCGUGUUCAAUUUAUAGGUAUUUAGGGGCUGUGUGGAUGGUUAAAAAGUCCUGAAAGGACAGCGGUAAUGGCUCUCAAAACUAGACAACAAAGUCACACUUUUAGGCGUGAUUUCGAGACAGCAUUGUGAGGUACAAUGCAGCAGUGAGUUGGGAUCUUUUGCAGUCGUUCGAGAGGUGCUUCACGGUCCGAAACUCUCUACAAACAACCACGACAAGUGUUGGUAAGGGCUGCCAAAACAGAUCGAGAACGUGAAGAAAACCAUGAUUGCGAUUUUCAUUUUUCCAUUCAGGUGUUGAACGAAAAAGUGGUUUUCUAAAAUAUAAGUUCUUCAGUAUGAUUUAGAUUUUGGUAAAGGUAAAGAAUACAUAUAUAUUUACAUAUAAUAAAUGACUAGGUUUCCAAGAACAUAAUCCGUUAGAAGUAAGAUUUCCUGUGCAAGUUUUAUGAUCAUUAGCUAAUUUUGGUUAACUAUACCAGUCUUAUAUUUUUUUUAUUAAUUGCUUAGGGGCGAAUAUGUUUCUGAACUUGAAGAGAGGAAUAAUGAGGUAACUCAGUUACGGGUAAAGGUUGAAAGCUUUACUAUGCAAGAGAAUACAUUGGAUGAAAGAAUGAGGUUAAUUGAUUAAUUCUUACAUUUUCCUUCUACAGAUUCCAUACUACAGAUCAACUCACCUGAAGUUGUUCUUGGAUAUCUGUAUUCUUGAAAUCGAAAUUUGUUUUUAUAUUUUUAUUAUCAUGAGUUUUUGUGUUUUGCUAACCAGAUCCCUGCCCUAAAACGGCCAUGGUUAACACCAACUUUAUAAAAUAAAAUUUUUUUAAAUAAUAUAUUUUUUGUUAAUUAUUAACCACCAACCAUAUUCUAAGGUUGCUCUUUCUGUUAUCCAAACUCUUUUUGAAGUCAAGGCAGAAAAGGUCUGUUUAGUGGCGUCAUGGUUUAGACAUGGGUUGGAUGGAAUUACGUGGGGUAUGGUGCUGGAAAAGACAGGUAUUAACUCACGAUGAAGCUGUUGAACUGCAGAAAAUGAUGGUUGUUCUGCUGAAUGUAUGCAUGUCUUUAACUAAGGAUCGCUGUUAAUGGGGUCUUCACUCAUCAACCGAUUGAAUAUAAAAAAAAUUAAGUAGAGACGAUGAAUUCAUCAAGUGAAGUCUCUGAAUUUUGCUUGAUCUAUAUUAUCUCAUAUUUACAUUUGUUGUUGUAGUUUGAGUGAGAAUGUUGUGUGUAGAGAUUCUAAGUGAUAUUACAGAAUUAAACUCUCUUACUUUCUAUAGAAUGAUGCCAAUAUGUUAUUGAA